GAGUGCUCAAAAAAAAAAAACAUAAUUUUGAAAGGAGAAAAACUAAAAAUCCUGUCAAAUUCAACUUUCCUCCAGUUUAAGUGUUAGA